rnacentral:rRNA from 18 species
AGAGUUUGAUCCUGGCUCAGGAUGAACGCUGGCGAGAUGCUUUACACAUGCAAGUCGUACGAGAGUCUUUGACUCAAGUGGCGGACGGGUGAGUAACACGUAAGAAUUUGCCUUUAGGAGGGGGACAACAACUGGAAACGGUUGCUAAUACCCCAUAUGCUUUCGAGUGAAAUGGAUUUUUCCGCCUAGAGAGAAGCUUGCGGCUGAUUAGCUUGUUGGUGAGGUAAUGGCUUACCAAGGCGACGAUCAGUAUCUGGUUUGAGAGGACGAUCAGACACACUGGAACUGAGACACGGUCCAGACUCCUACGGGAGGCAGCAGUAGGGAAUCUUCCGCAAUGGGCGAAAGCCUGACGGAGCAACGCCGCGUGAGUGAUGAAGGUCUUCGGAUCGUAAAACUCUGUUAUUAGGGAAGAACAUAUGUGUAAGUAACUGUGCACAUCUUGACGGUACCUAAUCAGAAAGCCACGGCUAACUACGUGCCAGCAGCCGCGGUAAUACGUA